rnacentral:rRNA from 1 species
GACAGAGGCCUCGAGCGUUAGGCGGAAUCACUGGGCUUAAAGCGUGUGUAGGCGGAUCGUUAAGUACCUUGUGAAAUCCCACGGCUCAACCGUGGAACGGCUGGGUAUACUGGCGGUCUUGGGCCAUUCAGGGGCGACUGGAACAAGCGGUGGAGCGGUGAAAUGCGUAGAUAUCGCUUGGAACGCCGAAGGUGAAAACAGGUCGCUGGGGAUGUGCCGACGCUGAGGAGCGAAAGCGUGGGGAGCGAACAGG